rnacentral:lncRNA from 1 species
GUCGCUUUCCCCAGCGUCAUGAGGACAACCCUCCCUGCCCCUGCCCAGAGGAAGAGAGUAACAUGAAUACAAGUCGAAGCAUGGGCUGCGUUUCCAUCUUUCCCCUGCACAUGUAGACUCCUUAACAGAAAUAUGCCCUCAAGGAAUGACCAAAAGGGGAGGAGAAUGAUCCACAGACGACAGCAGCAUGCAGACCAGGAUUCCUAGAGGAAGCAAGGCCCUAAAGAUCAAACCCUGCAUAGAUGUUAGCUACCAUGAUAACGUCAUUGAUGGAAGACAGGAAAGAGAAUGGAAAGAAAUGAAGACCUGGAAAGAAGGGUCCCACUUAAGGAAAGCCAGAGAUUCCACAAGGCUUAUUGGACACGUGUACUCAGAAGAGCACUGGAAAUCCUUAGACCUGUUCUUCAGACCUUAAAGCAAGUCUCCCAGUACAACACAAGUGAAGAUAAUUCAUAAAAGCACUGUUUUCAGAGUUUGAGGGACAAGGAGAAAAAGCAUUGAGGGCAUGGUACUAAAUCUUGCCAAGAGCUUUCAGUACGUGCACCUCACAUGUUGAGAGGCCGUGAGAGUGAGUAGCACAGGCUCUGAAUUUACACUGCAGGUCUCUGUAGUUGUGCAAGCUUGGCCAAGUUCUUCUUCUUCUUUUUUUUUUUUCCUGGUACCGGGGAUCGAACUCAGGACCUUGUGCUUGGGAGGCAGGUGGUGGAACCACUGAGCUACAUCCCCGGGCCUUGGCCAAGUUCUUUAUCCUCUCUGGGACUCAGUUCCCUCCUCAGUGAACC